GAUGAACGCUAGCGGCAGGCCUAAUACAUGCAAGUCGAACGGGAUCCAGAUCAAAGCUUGCUUUGGUCUGGUGAGAGUGGCGCACGGGUGCGUAACGCGUGAGCAACCUACCCUUGUCAGGGGGAUAGCCCGGCGAAAGUCGGAUUAAUACCGCAUGACAUCAUUGAGAGGCAUCUUUCGAUGAUCAAAGAUUUAUCGGACAAGGAUGGGCUCGCGUGACAUUAGCUAGUUGGUAAGGUAACGGCUUACCAAGGCUGCGAUGUCUAGGGGCUCUGAGAGGAGAAUCCCCCACACUGGUACUGAGGCACGGACCAGACUCCUACGGGAGGCAGCAGUAAGGAAUAUUGGGCAAUGGACGGAAGUCUGAACCAGCCAUGCCGCGUGCAGGAGGACGGCCCUAUGGGUUGUAAACUGCUUUUAUACGGGAACAAACGUCGGUACGUGUACCGGUCUGAGUGUACCGUAAGAAUAAGGAUCGGCUAACUCCGUG
rnacentral:rRNA from 1 species